AAACUGUCAGGCCACUUUAAGCCACAGUACGGAAGAAGCUGUGCAGCCUGUGAGCCCCGUCCAAGGACGUUAAAAGAAGAAGUCAGGCCCAAAAGCCACGGUUUGAGCAAACCGUGCUGCCUGUAGCUCCGUCGUGGGGACGUAAAACCUGGGAGGCUGCAAACUGUGGAAGCUGUACGCACGGUGUAGCAGACUAGCGGUUAGAGGAGACCCCUCCCAUGACACAACGCAGCAGCGGGGCCCGAGCACUGAGGGAAGCUGUACCUCCUUGCAAAGGACUAGAGGUUAGAGGAGACCCCCCGCAAACAAAAACAGCAUAUUGACGCUGGGAG
rnacentral:lncRNA from 1 species